rnacentral:misc_RNA from 1 species
GUACCUUUUUUAAAUACUAGUUAUUACAUUAUUAAAAUUCUUUUUAAAAGCAGCUAUGCUUUUGAUAUUAAAUAAGCAGUUAACUCUCUUACCUAACCCCACUAAGCGUAGAUUUGAGAAAGUUAUUCUGCCUCCUUUAUCUGCAAUUUCUAGCAAUUUUAGUUGAGCUAUAGGAUCGGUCAUAUGGCGACCCCAGGUUGCAUCCCCUAGCCAAUUGGGACCCAAACGUCCCACAAAUUGGGACCCAAACGUGCCGCAAAUUGGGACGGAUGAACUAGAUUGCUGAACCCAGGGUGGUUAAACUCAUACCAUUGGAUUAUUUUUACUUUAUGCCUUAUUAUUUUUAGUUUUAAGCAUUAAAAGAUACCAUACACACCAUUGAAGUAACUUCAACUGCAUCAAUUUCAAAAGCUGAAUAUCUCUUGAUUUGGUGCCAUAAUCCUAAAUUGAUGCUUGCCAAUCUCUUUCCAGCAAACAUGAGUGCUCCUUGGUUUAGGUCAACUCUGCUAGAAAUUAUGCAUGAGGAAAUGAUGACCAAUGAGAAGGAACAAGAUAUUGAGGUUGUAAAUUUAAGGGAAGAAUUUAUCUCUAGUCAAUUAUGAUGAGAGUAACACUUUCUUUUUUUUCUUUUUUCCUUUCCUACUUCUAGGAAUAGCAUAGAGAGUAGAGUUAUCGGUUUGAUAUUGUGAUCUUUUUUCUUCAAUUGGGUUUGGUGUUUGAUAUUUUCUUUUACUUUAGCGUGAACUUGACUUGUGUUGAAUUAGUUAGUGGUAAUCAUUGUAGUAGUGGAUGCUAUUGUAUUUUUUUAAUAAUACAUACAAAUGGAAACAUUAUAAGUAUUCCAUUGACAUUUUGAUAAACGUGCACCUCGCAUUACUCAGGUGUGUUGGCAGCUUGCUCCUGUCCUAGGUAGGGAUGGCAACGGAUCGGGUUUUUGUGGGUACCCAAUCCAACCGAAUCCUAAUAGGACGGUUUGGGUAUUAUAUAAUCGGGU